CCUACGUGAGGCAGCAGUGGGGAAUAUUGCACAAUGGGGGAAACCCUGAUGCAGCGACGCCGCGUGAGUGAAGAAGUAAUUCGUUAUGUAAAGCUCUAUCAGCAGGGAAGAAAAUGACGGUACCUGAGUAAGAAGCCCCGGCUAACUACGUGCCAGCAGCCGCGGUAAUACGUAGGGGGCAAGCGUUAUCCGGAUUUACUGGGGGUAAAGGGAGCGUAGACGGCAGUGCAAGUCUGGAGUGAAAGGCGGGGGCUCAACCCCCGGACUGCUCUGGAAACUGUACGGCUGGAGUGCAGGAGAGGUAAGUGGAAUUCCUAGUGUAGCGGUGAAAUGCGUAGAUAUUAGGAGGAACACCAGUGGCGAAGGCGGCUUACUGGACUGUAACUGACGUUGAGGCUCGAAAGCGUGGGGAGCAAACAGGAUUAGAUACCCGGGUAGUC
rnacentral:rRNA from 1 species